rnacentral:rRNA from 1 species
UGCAGUCGAGCGGAAGGNCCUUCGGGGUACUCGAGCGGCGAACGGGUGAGUAACACGUGAGUAACCUGCCCUGGACUUUGGGAUAACCCUCGGAAACGGGGGCUAAUACCGGAUAUGACCUGUCACUGCAUGGUGGUGGGUGGAAAGUUUUUCGGUCUGGGAUGGGCUCGCGGCCUAUCAGCUUGUUGGUGGGGUGAUGGCCUACCAAGGCGACGACGGGUAGCCGGCCUGAGAGGGCGACCGGCCACACUGGGACUGAGACACGGCCCAGACUCCUACGGGAGGCAGCAGUGGGGAAUAUUGCACAAUGGGCGGAAGCCUGAUGCAGCGACGCCGCGUGAGGGAUGACGGCCUUCGGGUUGUAAACCUCUUUCAGCAGGGACGAAGCGUGAGUGACGGUACCUGCAGAAGAAGCGCCGGCCAACUACGUGCCAGCAGCCGCGGUAAGACGUAGGGCGCGAGCGUUGUCCGGAUUUAUUGGGCGUAAAGAGCUCGUAGGCGGCUUGUCGCGUCGUUCGUGAAAACCCACAGCUCAACUGUGGGCUUGCGGUCGAUACGGGCAGGCUAGAGUUCGGUAGGGGAGACUGGAAUUCCUGGUGUAGCGGUGAAAUGCGCAGAUAUCAGGAG